UAUUGCUUGGCCUCGCUCACAUGUAAAAGUAGUUAAGCCAACCACUCCAGCACAACCACAAAGCAUUGGGUGAUGAUGACUUGAAAAGGGAGUGCAUUAAAGGAGCUAGGAGUAGUUGACCAGUUGAC